AGUAUUUUAACCCUAUGGGCUGU
rnacentral:miRNA from 1 species